rnacentral:tRNA from 1 species
GGGAAUGUGGCUUAGUGGUAGAGUGUUUGCCUAGCAUACAUAAAACCCUGGGUUCAAUCCCACAGUACCA